GACGAACGCUGGCGGCGUGCCUAAUACAUGCAAGUCGAGCGGAGAUUUAAAAGCUUGCUUUUAAAUCUUAGCGGCGGACGGGUGAGUAACACGUGGGCAACCUGCCCUGUAGACUGGGAUAACUUCGGGAAACCGAAGCUAAUACUGGAUAAUCUUUAGCGUCACAUGGCGCAAAAGUAAAAGUUGGGUUUACCUAACACUACAGGAUGGGCCCGCGGCGCAUUAGCUAGUUGGUAAGGUAAUGGCUUACCAAGGCGACGAUGCGUAGCCGACCUGAGAGGGUGAUCGGCCACACUGGGACUGAGACACGGCCCAGACUCCUACGGGAGGCAGCAGUAGGGAAUCUUCCGCAAUGGACGAAAGUCUGACGGAGCAACGCCGCGUGAACGAUGAAGGCCUUCGGGUCGUAAAGUUCUGUUGUUAGGGAAGAACAAGUACCGUUCA
rnacentral:rRNA from 1 species